rnacentral:piRNA from 5 species
CUUUUGGCUAAGAUCAAGUGUAGUAUC